UCGCUAGCAUGCGAGUCGAUGUAGCAAUACAUGGCGUACUGCUCAGUAACACGUGGACAACCUACCCUCCGGACGGGUAUAAACCCGGGAAACUGGGUAUAAUCCCCGAUAGAUCUCGGUCGCUGGAAAGCCCCGAGAUCGAAAGCUCCGGCGCCAGAGGAUGGGUCUGCGGCCUAUCAGGUAGUAGUGGGUGUAGCGUACCUACUAGCCUACGACGGGUACGGGUUGUGAGAGCAAGAGCCCGGAGAUGGAUUCUGAGACACGAAUCCAGGCCCUACGGGGUGCAGCAGGCGCGAAAACUUUACAAUGCCGGCAACGGCGAUAAGGGGACCUCGAGUGCCAGGUUACAAAUCUGGCUGUCGUGAUGCCUAAAAAGCAUUGCAUAGC
rnacentral:rRNA from 1 species